rnacentral:rRNA from 1 species
AUUGAACGCUGGCGGCAUGCCUAACACAUGCACGUCGAACGAGUGGCGGACGGGAGAGUAAUGGCUGGGCCACUGACUGAUGGAGGGGGAUAAAUACUGGAAACGGUGGCUACUACUGCAUACCCUCGCAUCUGCCCAGAUGGUAUUAGCUAGUAGGUGGGUUAAAGGCUCACGUAGGCGACGACACCUAGCUGGUCUGAGAGGAUGACAAGCCAAACUGGAACUGGGGCACGGUCCAGACGCCUACGGGAGGCAGCAGUGGGGAAUAUUGCACAAUGGGCGAAAGUCUGAUGCAGCCAUGCCGCGUGUAUGAAGAAGGCCUUCGGGUUGUAAAGGACUUUCAGCGGGGAGGCGUUACCCGCAGAAGAAGCAACGGCUAACUCCGUGCCAGCAGCCGCGGUAAUAC